rnacentral:lncRNA from 1 species
ACCAGAUUGCAAAAGGGGUUCAUGACACACCAAUCUGGAAAUUAUUUGGAUUUCAUGAGAAUUAUAGGUCUAUAGAAUUCUAUAGAAUAUGAAAGCUAUUACCUCACAAUAAUCCCAGGAGGUAGAUUGGAAUGGCAUUAAUAUAACCCUUUUUACAGAUAAGAAAACUGAAGUUUGUAGAGGUUUUGACUUUCCCAAGUUUCACAGUCUAUAAAUAGCAGAACCAAGAUUAGAAACUAAGUAUACUGAUGUCAACUACCAAAAAAUAUAUAUCUUUCUACCAUAUCACUGACAUCCAUGUUUAGAAAACUAUCCACUCGAAAAGCAAUCAUAAAAAGAUGGAAGAAAAGUAGGGACAAUCUAAUUAAGUCCUUUUCGUGGAGGUAUGACUACACCUAUACAAUGCCUGGCUGAUUGCCAAACAUCCACAUUUUAUAGCAAAUGAGCAAUGUACUUAUCUCCUCUGCUUAUAUCAACUCAUGCUUUGAAUCCUGUCAGGACAUUCGUAUAUUCCUCUGACUUAAGUUCCUCAUUCUACAGCACCAACCUAUUUACUCACAUGAAAUAAAUCUACAAAUAUUUAUUGCUGGCCUCUUCUUUUUUUUUCUUAUAAGGGCACAGACCACUAGACAAGAAGGAAUAUGUCAAAGUGCCAGACUUUUUCACAUAAAGUUUCUUUAGAAAAGCACCCUGGACUACUGGAUAUAGUGGUGGACCUUAGAAUCCAGAAGAAUUGGUUGGAACUCUACUUUGGACUCUACCUACAUAAUCAAAGAUGUGGAAGUAGAGGCCAAGAAAUGUCAAAUAAUUCAACCAAGAUCAUGAAAACAAUAAAUGGCAAAGCCUUGAUUCAAACCCAGAUCCUUGAGAUCCAAAUUAAAUACUGUUAUUUUUCUAGUAUGUCAUCCUUUCUUCAAAGUCAAACUAAGCUGAAAUCCAGGUUUUGCACCUGUAGCUUCUGACUCAGAAUCUAAUGCAUUCUCCAAUAACUCUGGCACUAGGUGGGAAAUAAUUGUCUCUCUUUCUGUGUUUAUUUAAACACAUCUAUAAACACAUAUCUGUGUACAUAUAUGUAUACAUAGACCUAAAUGUUUAUGCAUAAAUGUGGAUGUAUAUGUAUGUGCAUAUGUGUAUAUAUACAUAUAUGUGUAUGAACAUGUCCAUAUCUAUGUAAUCCUUUGCUCAAAGGGUUAAUUAGAUGAGACUGUCUCCUCCUUGGUGGAGACUAAAUUACUCAAUGCCCCUGUGCUUGUGAAAGGAAGUUAGUAAGAGCAAAUGAGAAGAGAAAG